rnacentral:rRNA from 1 species
AGCGUAGACGGCGCAGCAAGUCUGAUGUGAAAGGCAGGGGCUUAACCCCUGGACUGCAUUGGAAACUGCUGUGCUUGAGUGCCGGAGGGGUAAGCGGAAUUCCUAGUGUAGCGGUGAAAUGCGUAGAUAUUAGGAGGAACACCAGUGGCGAAGGCGGCUUACUGGGCACCAACUGACGCUGAGGCUCGAAAGUGUGGGUAGCAAACA